UACGGAGGAUGCAAGCGUUAUCCGGAAUGAUUGGGCGUAAAGCGUCCGCAGGUGGCUAUGUAAGUCUGCUGUUAAAGAGCAAAGCUUAACUUUGUAAAAGCAGUGGAAACUACAUAGCUAGAGUGCGUUCGGGGCAGAGGGAAUUCCUGGUGUAGCGGUGAAAUGCGUAGAUAUCAAGAGGAACACCAGUGGCGAAGGCGAGUCCCUGGACAACACCUGACACUGAGGCACGAAAGCUAGGGGAGCAAACAGG
rnacentral:rRNA from 1 species